AGAACGAACGCUGGCGGCAUGCCUAAUACAUGCAAGUCGAACGAACACUUCGGUGUUAGUGGCGCACGGGUGCGUAACGCGUGGGAAUCUGCCCUUGGGUUCGGAAUAACAGUUGGAAACGACUGCUAAUACCGGAUGAUAUCGAAAGAUCAAAGAUUUAUCGCCCAGGGAUGAGCCCGCGUAGGAUUAGCUAGUUGGUGAGGUAAAGGCUCACCAAGGCGACGAUCCUUAGCUGGUCUGAGAGGAUGAUCAGCCACACUGGGACUGAGACACGGCCCAGACUCCUACGGAGGCAGCAGUAAGGGAAUAUUGGACAAUGGGCGCAAGCCUGAUCCAGCAAAUGCCGCGUGAGUGAUGAAGGCCUUAGGGUUAGUAAAAGCUCUUUUAACCCGAGAAUGAAUAAAUGACAGUAUCGGGAGAAAUAAAGCCCCGGACUAACCUCCGCGCCAAGCAGCCCGC
rnacentral:rRNA from 1 species